UACAGAGGUCUCAAGCGUUGUUCGGAUUCAUUGGGCGUAGAGGGUGCGUAGGCGGCGCGGUAAGUCGGGUGUGAAAUCUCGGGGCUUAACUCCGAAACUGCAUUCGAUACUGCCGUGCUUGAGGACUGGAGAGGAGACUGGAAUUUACGGUGUAGCGGUGAAAUGCGUAGAUAUCGUAAGGAAGACCAGUGGCGAAGGCGGCUCACUGCCCGGUACUGACGCUGAGGUGCGAAAGCGUGGGGAGCAAACAGG
rnacentral:rRNA from 1 species